rnacentral:rRNA from 1 species
GAUGAACGCUGGCGGCGUGCCUAAUACAUGCAAGUCGAGCGAACAGAUGAGGAGCUUGCUCCUCUGACGUUAGCGGCGGACGGGUGAGUAACACGUGGAUAACCUACCUAUAAGACUGGGAUAACUUCGGGAAACCGGAGCUAAUACCGGAUAAUAUAUUGAACCGCAUGGUUCAAUAGUGAAAGACGGUUUUGCUGUCACUUAUAGAUGGAUCCGCGCCGCAUUAGCUAGUUGGUAAGGUAACGGCUUACCAAGGCAACGAUGCGUAGCCGACCUGAGAGGGUGAUCGGCCACACUGGAACUGAGACACGGUCCAGACUCCUACGGGAGGCAGCAGUAGGGAAUCUUCCGCAAUGGGCGAAAGCCUGACGGAGCAACGCCGCGUGAGUGAUGAAGGUCUUCGGAUCGUAAAACUCUGUUAUUAGGGAAGAACAAAUGUGUAAGUAACUCUGCACGUCUUGACGGUACCUAAUCAGAAAGCCACGGCUAACUACGUG